ACGAACGCUGGCGGCGUGCUUAACACAUGCAAGUCGAACGGAAAGGCCCUGCUUUUGUGGGGUGCUCGAGUGGCGAACGGGUGAGUAACACGUGAGUAACCUGCCCUUGACUUUGGGAUAACUUCAGGAAACUGGGGCUAAUACCGGAUAGGAGCUCCUGCUGCAUGGUGGGGGUUGGAAAGUUUCGGCGGUUGGGGAUGGACUCGCGGCUUAUCAGCUUGUUGGUGGGGUAGUGGCUUACCAAGGCUUUGACGGGUAGCCGGCCUGAGAGGGUGACCGGCCACAUUGGGACUGAGAUACGGCCCAGACUCCUACGGGAGGCAGCAGUGGGGAAUAUUGCACAUUGGGCGGAAGCCUGAUGCAGCAACGCCGCGUGCGGGAUGACGGCCUUCGGGUUGUAAACCGCUUUCGCCUGUGACGAAGCGUGAGUGACGGUAAUGGGUAAAGAAGCACCGGCUAACUACGUG
rnacentral:rRNA from 1 species